GUUGCUGUAACAACAACCCUCCAUUUCGUUUGAAGAACUUCCUCUUCUGCUUGGCUGCUUUCCGCUUUCUGUGAACCUUGCAUAGCAGCCACAUACCAACGGCCAGUAGAAACAGUCCAGAACUUAGAGUUACACCUGCAUUUUAUUUCCAUGUGGGAUUCUGCAUUCAUCAAUGUCUAUGGACAAUACAAGUUCACAAGUUGCACACAAGUGACACAGUAAUAAACCACACUUAAGCUCUUUAUUCGAUCUGAGAAGGAAGUAACAUACCCUGACAUCCACCAGACGUCUUGGAAAGAUCAAGACGCCAUUCUAGCUCCAUUGUCGUGUAUGCAUCGUACUCCGAUAACUCAUGGGACAUGAACGAGGACCCUGACAAGGUCCACAGUGUCAAAAAGGCAACCUGACAUCCUUCUUUA